rnacentral:rRNA from 1 species
GACGAACGCUGGCGGCGUGCUUAACACAUGCAAGUCGAACGAAGUGGCGAACGGGUGAGUAACGCGUAAUCAACCUGCCCUUCAGAGGGGGACAACAGUUGGAAACGACUGCUAAUACCGCAUACUGAAGGAGGGGAUUGCGUCUGAUUAGCUAGUUGGCGGGGUAACGGCCCACCAAGGCGAGGAUCAGUGGCCGGUCUGGGAGGAUGAACGGCCACAAUGGGCAUGCAGCACGGCCCAGACUCCCACCGGUGGCAGCAGUCGGGAAUCGUCGGCAAUUGGCGAAAGUCUGACUGAGCAACGCCGUGUGAGUGAUGACGGCCUUUGGGUUGUAAAGCUCUGUUAAUCGGGACGCCGUACCGGAACAGAAAGCCACGGAUAACUACGUGCCAGCAGCCGCGGUAAUAC